UACGUAGGGAGCAAGCGUUGUCCGGAAUCAUUGGGCGUAAAGCGCGCGUAGGUGGCCUCAUAAGUCCGCUGUGAAAGUCAAAGGCUCAACCUUUGAAAGCCGAUGGAUACUGUGAGGCUAGAGUACGGAAGAGGCGAGUGGAAUUCCUGGUGUAGCGGUGGAAUGCGCAGAUGUCAGGAGGAACACCGGUGGCGAAGGCGGGUCUCUGGGCCGAUACUGACGCUGAGGAGCGAAAGCGUGGGGAGCGAACAGG
rnacentral:rRNA from 1 species